CUACGGGCGGCAGCAGUGGGGAAUAUUGCACAAUGGAGGAAACUCUGAAGCAGCAACGCCGCGUGGAGGAUGACACUUUUCGGAGCGUAAACUCCUUUUAUAUAGGAAGAUAAUGACGGUACUAUAUGAAUAAGCACCGGCUAACUCCGUGCCAGCAGCCGCGGUAAUACGGAGGGUGCAAGCGUUACUCGGAAUCACUGGGCGUAAAGAGCGUGUAGGCGGGUUAAUAAGUCAGAAGUGAAAUCCUAUGGCUCAACCAUAGAACUGCUUUUGAAACUGUUAACCUAGAGUGUGGGAGAGGUAGAUGGAAUUUCUGGUGUAGGGGUAAAAUCCGUAGAGAUCAGAAGGAAUACCGAUUGCGAAGGCGAUCUACUGGAACAUAACUGACGCUGAGACGCGAAAGCGUGGGGAGCAAACAGGAUUAGAUACCCCUGUAGUC
rnacentral:rRNA from 1 species